rnacentral:lncRNA from 1 species
ACAGUAGUACCUACCAUCGGUACAGUGGUAACAGCUUUCGGGAAAACUACAUUACUCGCAUAAAUUGGUACUAAUUCUUUUCUUGGGCGACCUCUCCUCCUUGCCAUAUCAAUCUCUGCUAGGUUUACUUACCUAAGCAGAUGCAGUGGAGAAGAAGGCGAUGAAACAGUGAAGAAGAUGAUGAGGAAGUUAGAGAGAAGGCAGAGCUUCUCUCU